AGGUCGGGGUCCCAAGACCCCCCAGCGGAAAAAUGGCCAAAAAACGGGUGGGCUAUAGCCUUGGUGGGGGGCGUGGGCGUCCGCGGGACUCGGAAUGGCACCAUACUUGGCGGGCGGCCUCCGUGUGCCAAAAAUAGGCCACGGGCACAGCCGCGCCCAAAAAUCAGCCCCCGAAGGUCGGGGUCCCAAGACCCCCCAGCGGAAAAAUGGCCAAGAAACGCGUGGGCUAUAGCCUUGGUGGGGGGCGUGGGCGAAGUUCGUCCGCGGGACUCGGAAUGGCCCCAGACUUGGCGGGCGGCCUCCGUGUGCCAAAAAUAGGCCACGGGCACAGCCGCGCCCAAAAAUCAGCCCCCGAAGGUCGGGGUCACAAGACCCCCCAGCGGAAAAAUGGCCAAGAAACGCGUGGGCUAUAGCCUUGGUGGGGGGCGUGGGCGAAGUUCGUCCGCGGGACUCGGAAUGGCCCCAGACUUGGCGGGCGGCCUCCGUGUGCCAAAAAUAGGCCACGGGCACAGCCGCGCCCAAAAAUCAGCCCCCGAAGGUCGGGGUCACAAGACCCCCCAGCGGAAAAAAGGCCAAGAAACGCGUGGGCUAUAGCCUUGGUGGGGGGCGUGGGCGAAGUUCGUCCGCGGGACUCGGAAUGGCACCAUACUUGGCGGGCGGCCUCCGUGUGCCAAAAAUAGGCCACGGGCACAGCCGCGCCCAAAAAUCAGCCCCCGAAGGUCGGGGUCCCAAGACCCCCCAGCGGAAAAAUGGCCAAAAAACGGGUGGGCUAUAGCCUUGGUGGGGGGCGUGGGCGUCCGCGGGACUCGGAAUGGCACCAUACUUGGCGGGCGGCCUCCGUGUGCCAAAAAUAGGCCACGGGCACAGCCGCGCCCAAAAAUCAGCCCCCGAAGGUCGGGGUCCCAAGACCCCCCAGCGGAAAAAUGGCCAAGAAACGCGUGGGCUAUAGCCUUGGUGGGGGGCGUGGGCGAAGUUCGUCCGCGGGACUCGGAAUGGCCCCAGACUUGGCGGGCGGCCUCCGUGUGCCAAAAAUAGGCCACGGGCACAGCCGCGCCCAAAAAUCAGCCCCCGAAGGUCGGGGUCACAAGACCCCCCAGCGGAAAAAAGGCCAAGAAACGCGUGGGCUAUAGCCUUGGUGGGGGGCGUGGGUGAAGUUCGUCCGCGGGACUCGGAAUGGCACCAUACUUGGCGGGCGGCCUCCGUGUGCCAAAAAUAGGCCACGGGCACAGCCGCGCCCAAAAAUCAGCCCCCGAAGGUCGGGGUCCCAAGACCCCCCAGCGGAAAAAUGGCCAAAAAACGGGUGGGCUAUAGCCUUGGUGGGGGGCGUGGGCGAAGUUCGUCCGCGGGACUCGGAAUGGCCCCAGACUUGGCGGGCGGCCUCCGUGUGCCAAAAAUAGGCCACGGGCACAGCCGCGGCCAAAAAUCAGCCCCCGAAGGUCGGGGUCCCAAGACCCCCCAGCGGAAAAAUGGCCAAGAAACGCGUGGGCUAUAGCCUUGGUGGGGGGCGUGGGCGAAGUUCGUCCGCGGGACUCGGAAUGGCCCCAGACUUGGCGGGCGGCCUCCGUGUGCCAAAAAUAGGCCACGGGCACAGCCGCGCCCAAAAAUCAGCCCCCGAAGGUCGGGGUCCCAAGACCCCCCAGCGGAAAAAUGGCCAAGAAACGGGUGGGCUAUAGCCUUGGUGGGGGGCGUGGGCGAAGUUCGUCCGCGGGACUCGGAAUGGCCCCAGACUUGGCGGGCGGCCUCCGUGUGCCAAAAAUAGGCCACGGGCACAGCCGCGCCCAAAAAUCAGCCCCCGAAGGUCGGGGUCACAAGACCCCCCAGCGGAAAAAAGGCUAAGAAACGCGUGGGCUAUAGCCUUGGUGGGGGGCGUGGGCGAAGUUCGUCCGCGGGACUCGGAAUGGCACCAUACUUGGCGGGCGGCCUCCGUGUGCCAAAAAUAGGCCACGGGCACAGCCGCGCCCAAAAAUCAGCCCCCGAAGGUCGGGGUCCCAAGACCCCCCAGCGGAAAAAUGGCCAAAAAACGGGUGGGCUAUAGCCUUGGUGGGGGGCGUGGGCGAAGUUCGUCCGCGUGACUCGGAAUGGCCCCAGACUUGGCGGGCGGCCUCCGUGUGCCAAAAAUAGGCCACGGGCACAGCCGCGCCCAAAAAUCAGCCCCCGAAGGUCGGGGUCCCAAGACCCCCCAGCGGAAAAAUGGCCAAGAAACGCGUGGGCUAUAGCCUUGGUGGGGGGCGUGGGCGAAGUUCGUCCGCGGGACUCGGAAUGGCCCCAGACUUGGCGGGCGGCCUCCGUGUGCCAAAAAUAGGCCACGGGCACAGCCGCGCCCAAAAAUCAGCCCCCGAAGGUCGGGGUCACAAGACCCCCCAGCGGAAAAAAGGCCAAGAAACGCGUGGGCUAUAGCCUUGGUGGGGGGCGUGGGUGAAGUUCGUCCGCGGGACUCGGAAUGGCACCAUACUUGGCGGGCGGCCUCCGUGUGCCAAAAAUAGGCCACGGGCACAGCCGCGCCCAAAAAUCAGCCCCCGAAGGUCGGGGUCCCAAGCCCCCCCAGCGGAAAAAUGGCCAAGAAACGCGUGGGCUAUAGCCUUGGUGGGGGGCGUGGGCGAAGUUCGUCCGCGGGACUCGGAAUGGCCCCAGACUUGGCGGGCGGCCUCCGUGUGCCAAAAAUAGGCCACGGGCACAGCCGGGCCCAAAAAUCAGCCCCCGAAGGUCGGGGUCACAAGGACCCCCCAGCGGAAAAAAGGCCAAGAAACGGGUGGGCUAUAGCCUUGGUGGGGGGCGUGGGCGAAGUUCGUCCGCGGGACUCGGAAUGGCACCAUACUUGGCGGGCGGCCUCCGUGUGCCAAAAAUAGGCCACGGGCACAGCCGCGCCCAAAAAUCAGCCCCCGAAGUUCGGGGUCCCAAGACCCCCCAGCGGAAAAAUGGCCAAAAAACGGGUGGGCUAUAGCCUUGGUGGGGGGCGUGGGCGAAGUUCGUCCGCGGGACUCGAAAUGGCCCCAGACUUGGCGGGCGGCCUCCGUGUGCCAAAAAUAGGCCACGGGCACAGCCGCGCCCAAAAAUCAGCCCCCGAAGGUCGGGGUCCCAAGACCCCCCAGCGGAAAAAUGGCCAAGAAACGCGUGGGCUAUAGCCUUGGUGGGGGGCGUGGGCGAAGUUCGUCCGCGGGACUCGGAAUAGCCCCAGACUUGGCGGGCGGCCUCCGUGUGCCAAAAAUUGGCCACGGGCACAGCCGCGCCCAAAAAUCAGCCCCCGAAGGUCGGGGUCCCAAGACCCCCCAGCGGAAAAAUGGCCAAGAAACGGGUGGGCUAUAGCCUUGGUGGGGGGCGUGGGCGAAGUUCGUCCGCGGGACUCGGAAUGGCCCCAGACUUGGCGGGCGGCCUCCGUGUGCCAAAAAUAGGCCACGGGCACAGCCGCACCCAAAAAUCAGCCCCCGAAGGUCGGGGUCCCAAGACCCCCCAGCGGAAAAAUGGCCAAGAAACGCAUGGGCUAUAGCCUUGGUGGGGGGCGUGGGCGAAGUUCGUCCGCGGGACUCGGAAUGGCCCCAGACUUGGCGGGCGGCCUCCGUGUGCCAAAAAUAGGCCACGGGCACAGCCGCGCCCAAAAAUCAGCCCCCGAAGGUCGGGGUCCCAAGACCCCCCAGCGGAAAAAUGGCCAAGAAACGCGUGGGCUAUAGCCUUGGUGGGGGGCGUGGGCGAAGUUCGUCCGCGGGACUCGGAAUGGCCCCAGACUUGGCGGGCGGCCUCCGUGUGCCAAAAAUAGGCCACGGGCACAGCCGCGCCCAAAAAUCAGCCCCCGAAGGUCGGGGUCCCAAGACCCCCCUGCGGAAAAAUGGCCAAGAAACGCGUGGGCUAUAGCCUUGGUGGGGGGCGUGGGCGAAGUUCGUCCGCGGGACUCGGAAUGGCCCCAGACUUGGCGGGCGGCCUCCGUGUGCCAAAAAUAGGCCACGGGCACAGCCGCGCCCAAAAAUCAGCCCCCGAAGGUCGGGGUCCCAAGACCCCCCAGCGGAAAAAUGGCCAAGAAACGCGUGGGCUAUAGCCUUGGUGGGGGGCGUGGGCGAAGUUCGUCCGCGGGACUCGGAAUGGCCCCAGACUUGGCGGGCGGCCUCCGUGUGCCAAAAAUAGGCCACGGGCACAGCCGCGCCCAAAAAUCAGCCCCCGAAGGUCGGGGUCCCAAGACCCCCCAGCGGAAAAAUGGGCCAAGAAACGGGUGGGCUAUAGCCUUUGGUAGGGGGCGUGGGCGAAGUUCGUCCGCGGGGACUCGGGAAAUGGCCCCCAGACUUGGCGGGCGGCCUCCGUGUGCCCAAAAAAUAGGCCACGGGGCACAGCCGGCGCCCCAAAAAUCAGCCCCCCGAAGGUCGGGGGUCCCCAAGACCCCCCCAGCGGAAAAAACGGCCAAAGAAAACGCGGUGGGCUAUAGCCCUUGGGUGGGGGGGCGUGGGCGAAAGUUUCGUUUGCGGGGACUCGGAAUGGCCCCAGACUUGGCAGGCGGCCCUCCGUGUGCCAAAAAUAGGCCACGGGCACAGCCGCGCCCAAAAAUCAGCCCCCGAAGGUCGGGGUCCCAAGACCCCCCAGCGGAAAAAUGGCCAAGAAACGGGUGGGCUAUAGCCUUGGUGGGGGGCGUGGGCGAAGUUCGUCCGCGGGACUCGGAAUGGCCCCAGACUUGGCGGGCGGCCUCCGUGUGCCAAAAAUAGGCCACGGGCACAGCCGCGCCCAAAAAUCAGCCCCCGAAGGUCGGGGUCCCAAGACCCCCCAGCGGAAAAAUGGCCAAGAAACGGGUGGGCUAUAGCCUUGGUGGGGGGCGUGGGCGAAGUUCGUCCGUGGGACUCGGAAUGGCACCAUACUUGGCGGGCGGCCUCCGUGUGCCAAAAAUAGGCCACGGGCACAGCCGCGCCCAAAAAUCAGCCCCCGAAGGUCGGGGUCCCAAGACCCCCCAGCGGAAAAAUGGCCAAAAAACGGGUGGGCUAUAGCCUUGGUGGGGGGCGUGGGCGAAGUUCGUCCGCGUGACUCGGAAUGGCCCCAGACUUGGCGGGCGGCCUCCGUGUGCCAAAAAUAGGCCACGGGCACAGCCGCGCCCAAAAAUCAGCCCCCGAAGGUCGGGGUCACAAGACCCCCCAGCGGAAAAAAGGCCAAGAAACGCGUGGGCUAUAGCCUUGGUGGGGGGCGUGGGCGAAGUUCGUCCGCGGGACUCGGAAUGGCCCCAGACUUGGCGGGCGGCCUCCGUGUGCCAAAAAUAGGCCACGGGCACAGCCGCGCCCAAAAAUCAGCCCCCGAAGGUCGGGGUCCCAAGACCCCCCAGCGGAAAAAUGGCCAAGAAACGGGUGGGCUAUAGCCUUGGUGAGGGGCGUGGGCGAUGUUCGUCCGCGGGACUCGGAAUGGCCCCAGACUUGGCGGGCGGCCUCCGUGUGCCAAAAAUAGGCCACGGGCACAGCCGCGCCCAAAAAUCAGCCCCGAAGGUCGGGGUCCCAAGACCCCCCAGCGGAAAAAUGGCCAAAAAACGGGUGGGCUAUAGCCUUGGUGGGGGGCGUGGGCGAAGUUCGUCCGCGGGACUCGGAAUGGCCCCAG
rnacentral:lncRNA from 1 species